rnacentral:lncRNA from 1 species
GCCGACCUCUUCACAAAAUCACUACCUACCUCGGUAUUCAGAAAACAUGUCCAUAACAUUGGAAUGCGCCAUCAGAAGGAUCUAUGAUUGCUCAUUCGAGGGGGAGCUUACAUAGUUGUACUCUUUUUACCUUACUAUGGUUUUUCCCAUUGGGUUUUCCAUGACUAGGUUUUUAACGAGGCACUACGUAAUACAAGAUGAAUGAUCAAGGGGGAGUGUUAUAAGAUAAACAUUGAAAUGAUCUUCCACUCCUUUACCAACUCAAGCACUAUGAUCAUCUACUCAUCAAGC